GUCCCCACCGUCUAGAGGCCUAGGACACCGCCCUUACACGGCGGUAACAGGGGUUCGAAUCCCCUUGGGGACGCCA
rnacentral:tRNA from 1 species